rnacentral:rRNA from 1 species
UACGUAGGGGGCAAGCGUUGUCCGGAUUUAUUGGGCGUAAAGAGCGUGUAGGCGGCCAGGUACGUCUGCUGUGAAAACUCGAGGCUUAACCUCGAGCUGUCGGCGGAAACCAUCUGGCUAGAGUCCGGAAGAGGAGAAUGGAAUUCCCGGUGUAGCGGUGAAAUGCGCAGAUAUCGGGAAGAACACCCGUGGCGAAGGCGGUUCUCUGGGACGGUACUGACGCUGAGACGCGAAAGCGUGGGGAGCGAACAGG